rfam:Cryptococcus bestiolae CBS 10118 unplaced genomic scaffold supercont1.1, whole genome shotgun sequence.
UCUUCUAUAGUACAGCGGUUAGUAUAUCCGCCUUUCAGAACAUGUUGCUGUGGCGCGGGAGAUCGGGGUUCGAUUCCCCGUGGGAGAA